rnacentral:rRNA from 1 species
GACGAACGCUGGCGGCGUGCUUAACACAUGCAAGUCGAACGGAAAGGCCCUGCUUUUGUGGGGUGCUCGAGUGGCGAACGGGUGAGUAACACGUGAGUAACCUGCCCUUGACUUUGGGAUAACUUCAGGAAACUGGGGCUAAUACCGGAUAGGAGCUCCUGCUGCAUGGUGGGGGUUGGAAAGUUUCGGCGGUUGGGGAUGGACUCGCGGCUUAUCAGCUUGUUGGUGGGGUAGUGGCUUACCAAGGCUUUGACGGGUAGCCGGCCUGAGAGGGUGACCGGCCACAUUGGGACUGAGAUACGGCCCAGACUCCUACGGGAGGCAGCAGUGGGGAAUAUUGCACAAUGGACGGAAGCCUGAUGCAGCAACGCCGCGUGCGGGAUGACGGCCUUCGGGUUGUAAACCGCUUUCGCCUGUGACGAAGCGUGAGUGACGGUAAUGGGUAAAGAAGCACCGGCUAACUACGU